AAAAAUAUAGCAUAGUUUAAUGCAUCUCACUUACACUGAGAACAUGCUGAAGCAUCAGCUGUUUUUA
rnacentral:tRNA from 1 species